UUUCCGGAGCUUCAGGUAUGAAGCCGUUUCGUUCAUCACCGUUUGGUAGGGCUUCUCAAGAAGCCGGUGGUGAAGCCGGUUGAGAAGUCCUACCAAAAGGGGCCUAAAUGUUGCAAAAUGGUUAAUAAGAGAUUUUUUUCCAAUUUUAGAACGGGUACUCUCAAAAUAAAAUAGCAGAGGAUACACUUAGUAGCAUUAUUCCCUAACCAAGCAUUCAAAUCAGCGACCUUUGACUUUUUCACACUCAUCCGCUUCAUUUCUAGCUUCCUUGCCCGUUCCAUGUCCCCUUCCUUCCAUUUUGACGAUUGCUAUCUCCACCAUCUACCAUACGCGAACAACUUAAUUUUGCAAUUCAUUUAACAGUCGUCACCACUACUAGCCAUGGCUACCACAAUAUUCCAAACCUUCUACUAGUGACAUAAGCUACACCCACCUCCCACACUUAAACAAG
rnacentral:lncRNA from 1 species